UACGUAGGGUGCAAGCGUUGUCCGGAAUUAUUGGGCGUAAAGGGCUCGUAGGCGGCUUGUCAAGUCGGACGUGAAAUCCCUCGGCUUAACCGGGGAACUGCGUCCGAUACUGGAUGGCUUGAGUUUGGGAGAGGGAUGCGGAAUUCCAGGUGUAGCGGUGAAAUGCGUAGAUAUCUGGAGGAACACCGGUGGCGAAGGCGGCAUCCUGGGCCAACACUGACGCUGAUGAGCGAAAGCCAGGGGAGCAAACGGG
rnacentral:rRNA from 1 species